CUCAGUAACACGUGGAUAACCUUCCCUUAGGACCGGAAUAACCCCGGGAAACUGGGGAUAAUACGGGAUAAGCCAUAGACGCUGGAAUGCCCUAUGGUUCAAAGCUCCGGCGCCUAAGGAUGGAUCUGCGGUCUAUCAGGUUGUAGUGGGUGUAACGUACCUACUAGCCGACGACGGAUACGGGUUGUGAGAGCAAGAGCCCGGAGAUGGAUUCUGAGACACGAAUCCAGGCCCUACGGGGUGCAGCAGGCGCGAACACUUUACAAUGCGGGAAACCGCGAUAAGGGAACCCCGAGUGCCAGCAUCAAAUGUUGGCUGUCCAGAUGAUUAAAAAUCAUUUGUUAGCAAGGGCCGGGCAAGACCGGUGCCAGCCGCCGCGGUAACACCGGCGGCCCGAGUGGUAGCCGUUUUUAUUGGGUCUAAAGGGUCCGUAGCCGGCCUGAUCAGUCCUUUGGGAAAUCUGGCAGCUUAACUGUCAGGCUUCUAAGGGAUACUGUCAGGCUUGGGACCGGAAGAGGUAAGGGGUACUCCAGGGGUAGGAGUGAAAUCUUGUAAUCCCUGGGGGACCAUCUGUGGCGAAGGCGCCUUACCAGAACGGGUCCGACGGUGAGGGACGAAAGCUAGGGGAGCAAACCGGAUUAGAUACCCGGGUAGUCCUAGCUGUAAACGAUGCUCGCUAGGUGUCAGACACGGUGCGACCGUGUUUGGUGCCGCAGGGAAGCCGUUAAGCGAGCCACCUGGGAAGUACGGUCGCAAGGCUGAAACUAAAG
rnacentral:rRNA from 1 species